CGUGGUGUUCGCUGUGAGCCAAGGCUCCGUGUUUAAGGACCUACUUUGAUCUAUAAUGGUUUACUUUAAACAAAUUAUUACUUUGAUGGAAAGUUGUCUCAUUCGAACUCAUGCACCAUCUUCUUAUAUCUAUAAAUCUUUAAAAUUUCCCCUUAUAAAUAACUGCUUUACAGUCCUCCAACUGAACGAUCUAAAUUUAUGAAUA
rnacentral:lncRNA from 1 species